AUUGAACGCUGGCGGCAUGCUUUACGCAUGCAAGUCGAACGGUAACAGGUUAAGCUGACGAGUGGCGAACGGGUGAGUAAUGCAUCGGAACGUGCCCGAUCGUGGGGGAUAACGCAGCGAAAGCUGCGCUAAUACCGCAUACGAUCUGAGGAUGAAAGCGGGGGACCGUAAGGCCUCGCGCGAUCGGAGCGGCCGAUGUGAGAUUAGGUAGUUGGUGGGGUAAAGGCUCACCAAGCCAACGAUCUGUAGCCGGUCUGAGAGGACGACCAGCCAUACUGGGGCUGAGACAGGGCCCAGACGCCUACGGGAGGCAGAAGUGGGGCAUUUUGGACAAUGGGCGAAAGCUUGAUCCAGCAAUGCCGCGUGCGGGAUGAAGGCCUUCGGGUUGUAAACUGCUUUUGUACGGAACGAAACGGUGAGCUCUAAUACGGUUUGCUAGUGACGGUACCGUAAGAAUAAGCAGCGGCUAACUACGUGCCAGCAGCCGCCGUAACAC
rnacentral:rRNA from 1 species